GGAUUGCCCUAGUAACGGCGAGUGAAGCGGCAACAGCUCAAAUUUGAAAUCUGGCCUCCUCCGGGGGUCCGAGUUGUAAUUUGCAGAGGGUGCUUUGGCUUUGGCGGCGGUCUAAGUUCCUUGGAACAGGACAUCGCAGAGGGUGAGAAUCCCGUACGUGGGCGCCUGCCACUGCCGUGUAAAGCCCCUUCGACGAGUCGAGUUGUUUGGGAAUGCAGCUCUAAAUGGGAGGUAAAUUUCUUCUAAAGCUAAAUACCGGCCAGAGACCGAUAGCGCACAAGUAGAGUGAUCGAAAGAUGAAAAGUACUUUGGAAAGAGAGUAAAAUAGCACGUGAAAUUGUUGUAGAGGAAGCGCUUGCAGCCAGACUUCCCCGUAGUCGCUCACCCGGGCUCCUGCCCGGGGCACUCUUCUGCGGGGAGGCCAGCAUCAGUUUGGGCGGUCGGAUAAAGGCCUCUGUCACGUAUCUCCCUCCGGGGAGACCUUAUAGGGGAGGCGCAAUGCGACCAGCCCGGACUGAGGUCCGCGCAUCUGCCAGGAUGCUGGCGUAAUGGCUGUAAGCGGCCCGUCUUGAAACACGGACCAAGGAGUCUAACAUCUAUGCGAGUGUUUGGGUGUCAAGCCCGGGCGCGCAAUGAAAGUGAACGGAGGUGGGAACCCUCGGGUGCACCAUCGACCGAUCCUGAUGUCUUCGGAUGGAUUUGAGUAAGAGCAUAGCUGUUGGGACCCGAAAGAUGGUGAACUAUGCUUGAAUAGGGUGAAGCCAGAGGAAACUCUGGUGGAGGCUCGCAGCGGUUCUGACGUGCAAAUCGAUCGUCAA
rnacentral:rRNA from 1 species